AUCAAAUAGACAUAGUCACUGUUCAGGGACCAAAGACAAGUUCAAAAUAUUGUCUUAAUAGACAGCUAAAUUAAUUUUCAAUGUAAAGGAAUUGUUCAGAGGUGGGAAGUCAUCUAAUGUGCCGGAAUCUGCAACAGUAAGUCUAAUGGCUAGCCAGAAAGACCUCACAGUUCAGCAUUAUGACUCUGUGAUGACUACCAGUAAAAAAUGUUGGCCAAAUGUAUCAAGUUUUCCCCAUUAUAAAACAUUGCUUUUGUUGGUGAUGCAGCUAUGUUUUAUAUAGCACUCAACACUGCUAAAUCAAACAGCCUAAAUCAAAUUCAGCAGAAACUGCACCACUGAUUACAAAGAACAGCAAUUAAAGAUAAAAUGUUUAGCCAGAAGGCAGUACAGCUCUAGAAACACUGGUUUUAUCAUAGAACUCACAAUAUUAAUGCUUACGUGAAUUUUAAUUAAAGCAUUUAAUUCCUGUGCAAUCCCAAUCACACAAGACAUUUUGCACUCUUCCUUUCACAAAAGCCCAUGGUUUUCACAAACAUGUAGACAGAAGGGAGGUAGCAAAACAGUAAAUAUACCCUCAAUGUCAAGUUUGGUCGGAACGUACCAGACAGCAAAACCCUGUCGUGUUUUGCAUAGGGACUCUGAAAUGAAUGAAGGCUUUUUGUUUUGUGAUUAUACACCCUCACGAUGUUCUAAGAAUGUCAUGCUUAACUACAGGGAGUAGAUCUUCAACAGAUCAGCUUGCUUACGCACAAAAUUGAACUGGACAAAUCUUCACUAGAACUCAGCACAAUCACAAUCAGCACCAACCUCUUUUGAAAAUCUGUCCCCAAUUAUUAGAUGCCAAAUACUCAGAAACUUGGCUCUGUGCUCUUAAAAAUCUAAAUCUGUAAACUCAAAACCAGUAUUGCAGCCACUGAGUUGUGGGCACACCUGGCAGUAUUCCUGUCAGGGGAGGAGCAAAGCAAGAGGCAGCCUGUAGCAAAGUGAAUGAACCUUCUUUAAAUGACAAAGCUUACUACUACUGUAUUCACUGGCACUGUAGGACAGUUUAGGUUUGAGACUGUUUUAUUUGCAUUUUGGUUUUUCUCCUUAUCAGUUUAUCACUGAUGUUAGCCUAGCACAUUGCUAGUGACAGUAGAUCUAGAGCCAGAACCGAGCUCACAACUGGCCUGAAAGAAAACCAUCAAUACUAUCAACCAUACUCCUGUAAUCGAACCAGGUUGAAUCUACGAGCUGAAUUUAAAAGAUACUAGCAGAAAGUACAGUAAUAUAUUCAUCCAACUGAUAACUUAUAUGAUGAAACACAGCCAUUUGAUAUUUAAGUGCAUUAGGAUGGUAUAUACUACACAAGUCACUUCCUCAAAUAAAUUAUUUUGCAAAACAAGAUGAAAUUAUACAUUUUGAAGCUUUCAUAGCUUUGAAAUUUCAUAUCAAACAUAGAAUACUAAGGCUGAGGUCCGUGCAACUCUUGGUCCCAAAGGCACAGAUAAAAGUUGCUUUGUUACUGGAGUUUCUUUUCUAGUUUCCAUUCCACACUCAGGAUAUUUGAACAUAGUAGGACAGUAGUAGCUCCCACCUUUGUGUUCAAAUGAAGAACUGAAUUGAGAGUUUUGGCCAAUUCAUACAGCUACUAUUUUAAAGUAUUCCCAUUAGUUCUGUGAACCACCGUACAGCAAAAGUAGAAGCACUGGACUUAUUUGCUUGCUAUGAUCAGAACUAUUAGAAGCCUCCAACCAACUGUGAAAGAAACUCUUGCCUUUACAAGGCAUGCUUAACAUCUAAUGCGUUAGCGUUUCACUUUCUACUGCAAGCAUCUGCCCUCAAAAUUUAAACAUGCUAUUUUCUUAUCAUAAUCCUUUUUUUCCCUUCAGUUAAAAUACAGACUUUUAAAGAGAGAAUGUUAAUUCUAGCCUAUCUAAACAUAGGUGAUUCUUAUAAGACAACAAAAACAUCACUGACUUAAUGUAAAACCUUUCUAAUACCCUAGCGUAUAAUUAAGUAAUUCAUUAGCAAGUAACUUCAAGUGGGUGUAAUUUAAUGUUUCCUUCCUGCACCCUGAGCAAACACAACACAGAAUACUUAAUCCAUUUGAACCCAACCCCCUAAAAUCCACUGACUUAGCAAAAUCUCAUACAGAGACUUACAUGGAAGAACUCCAACCCACCCCCACCCUCCAAGAAUCAUAAAGGCUUACUUCACUUGUAGGUUCACCCCAGAGAAGAGAAGGAAUGGUAGAUUACGCUUUGUUGAUUUUUCAGCCAAUUCUGCAGCACGAAAUCCCCCCAUAAGACUCAGUUAUCUCCUGACCAACCUCCUGGUCAGGGGGGCGGGCUGCUCGUUCAUAGGCCGUGCUGCAGACAGGCACACCUGGCCCACUUCUGCCCUCACCGUUCCACCUUGAGGAAAAGCAGCAAGCAGGUGGCACUGAUCUCAGCAAUGUAGAGGGCAGGGAGCUGCACGUGGGAAAAAACAAGGCCAUAGCGUGUUACAGAACUGCUCACUCGAAACAGCAUUUAGUUAUUUAAUAAAGGUACAAAAACAUAUUGCUAAUUAUUUAGUAAACCUACUGCCAUUUUUUUUUUUUUUUUCUGUAAGACUAGCUUGACAAAGUCAGGAAAGAGAUGAGAAAAUGAAGUUUCGGUUCCCACUUAAAGGCUCGCCUCUCCUGAGGAGAAGACAGCCGUUAUCCCGCAGGCUCUGAGGAAGCUGCCGCGGAGGUGCGACAGUGAAGAUCCCGCUUUCCCGCCACUCGUGCUCUGAUUGGCUGCUCAGGGCCGGCGGGAGCGCAGCGAGGAGCGGCUGCGCUGAGGAGAGCACGAGAUGGCGGCGGGAGCGACGUGAGGCGGCACGUUUCCUCUUUCUGUGAGGUCCCAGCUCAGUGCCUGGCCUAAGCAGAUGAGCCAGGUUGUGGGCAAAUGUGCCGGGGUCAGAAGAACAAGGAUCGUAGUGCAGUCAUUGCCAGCUUCGUGCAUCAGGCAGCGUUUGCACAGAACCCUCUCAGUUUUCCUUUUACUGAGUUCUUUUCAGACGGUUUUACAGGGGGCAGCAAUUCACAGAAAAUAUUGUUUGGGAGUGCACAUAAAUGACAAAAAUAAAGGUAAGUUGUGCUUUACAAGUAACAAAAAGAUGUGCAACAUGCUUUCAAGUAGGAGCAUUGUUCUUUUGCUCUAGUCUUGUUACACAGACACCUAAUGUAGUGCUGUUUUCUGGUUAUUAAUCUUUUAAGUGGAAGCUUAAAAAAACAAAAAGGAAACUGAGUCAGGGCUUAAGUCAAAUUUUUAAAAAACAAAUCUAAGUUAUAGCACCAUAUGAAAUGGUGCAUACAUUUUGAGCUUUUGCCUGCAGAAGCACGCUGAGACAUUCUCAGAACCUUCCAGCACUUAUGUUAAUGAAACUGUCAAAGAUUAUUCAGUGGAUGUUUUUAUUAUACUGCAGGAUUUUGGGAAUAUCCAAACUAACAUUGAUCUGGUUUGUUUGUUCAUUAGCAGGAAAGCUAUGGCAAAACGUUGAACAACCCCAAUUGGAUACGUCUUCAUGGAUACUAAUGAAUACUGCAAUAUAGGCUGAUCAAGAGACUGUAGCUCCUGAGUUCUUUAGGCUGAUUUAAGCAUUCCCUUUGAGUGUUACUUCAUUUCCAAAUAACCUUCCUGUGCAAAAGAUACAGCAUGUUUAACUAUGCAGUUAUUUAGUAAGAGUAGUACCACAAGCAUUAAAUAAUUCACAGAUUUUCCCCUCUCUGCAUAAUUAUCUCACCCCAAACCUCUUUAUUCAAUAUGUGCUGCAUAAUGAAUGUUCCUAUGACCAACACUGAAGGUAGGAUCAUCUCUGCUACGAGUAAAGGAUUACUGGAAUCUCUCUUUGAGCUACUGAAGGCUUCAGGGCUGUGACAGUAAUCCACUGCCUGUUGGCCUUUCCUUGCAUGUGGCAGACAUGAUCAGAUAAAGAAAGAGGAACUUAAUUCUACUUCUGUGUUAAAAUAUCCUUUUCGGUCACAUGAUAUUCUUUCUUGAAAUAUAGUCAUUAAUGACUAUCCUGAACUUACAGGAUUUCUUUUUUUUAAUGAUUAUCAUUGAUUAUAGUUCCAGGAACAUCUAUAACCAUGCCUUCUAGAAAAGUUUUGAAUCUCCAGCUCAUUUUCUAAAGGUAUCUCACUGCUUUAUAGGACAAAAUAGGACAUCAGACAGUCUAACAUCUCUUUCUAAGUCCAAAAUUGGAUUGCUGGUUUAACUGCUUUUAUUUUUAAUACAUGGGUGUUUUAAACUUUUUUUAUAUUAUGCAUACUAAACUUAGGCAUUUUCCUGUAUCUGCAGUUA